AACCAAGUUGUGUGCAGAGAGGUUGAUAUAACUAUAUUUACAGAAAAUGAUUUUUACAAUUAAAGUUCACAUUUUAACAUGAACAUGCGUGCUGCAAUCCCUUCUCCAGUCCGAGAAAUGUGGUUUGUGGUAGGAAGGAAUGGUGGCCCACUCCAUGAGCAGAGCCUGUGGGGGCUGAACCCGACUUCACUUACAGUGAUGAUGGAGGAGAUUGGGGAGCUGCUACCUGUCCUUCUAGAAGCCACGGUCUGGACAGACUUUCUCCAGGAUCACAGAAGAACUGCAGCUUCCUGGGGAGCAGUUUCACCUCCACAGGCAUCGCUUCAUACUCCUCACUGUCAAUGCUAAAAGAGCCCCCUGCUCCCUGGGGAGAAGAGAAUAUUCAGAACAGCUCAAACCCACAUCAGUGGCCUACUGGAGUUGGAGGUCUCACAGCAGCAGCAGAAGAAGUUCAUUAUGGAAAACAACAUCCUCUCUUGAGUUAUCCUAAUGUUCUUUUACAAAAAAAAUUCAGUGCCUACUAUGAUGGUCAUAGUGUUGGUUCUGGAAACAUCCUAAUUCUACCAUCCAUGAAAAAGGAUUUAUUUUCUUUUUUUGGCCCCUAUCUCCUCCCGGAGUAUUUUGGGAUUUGAACAAAAUGGUUAUAAUUUUCAAAUAUGUAUUAAAAGGCAAGGGUCCUGCCAUGUCUUAAGGAACUCAUAUACAUAGUCCUUCUAUAUUAUGCUAAUCCUUCUCAAAUAAAAAUAGAGAAAGACAGCUAAUUCUCUUAUGA
rnacentral:antisense_RNA from 1 species